rfam:Triticum urartu cultivar G1812 contig951616, whole genome shotgun sequence.
UCCAUUGCUCAGUUGGUAAAGCAAAAAGCUCUUAACCUUGUGGACAUGGGUUCAAGCCCUAUGAUGGAA